UCUGGCAUCGAUGAAGAACGCAGCGAAAUGCGAUAAGUAAUGUGAAUUGCAGAAUUCAGUGAAUCAUCGAAUCUUUGAACGCACAUUGCGCCCUCUGGUAUUCCGGAGG
rnacentral:rRNA from 1 species